CGUCACCUUCCGGUGGAGGUCCUGCAGGAUUCCGUCAAAGGGUGCCGAAAACGACAACAAAAGCAAACGAAAAGCUGGCAAGCUCCAACGGAAAGGUGUAAAAGUCACCCGUUCUGUCGGCGUAUUAAGCCAUUACCAACGGAGGCGGAGGUUCCCAACCGAACUCGGGGACCGUGCAGCCAAGCGGAACCUGGUGACAGCUGCAUUUGCAUAAAUCGCAUCCACCUCAAGUGUGAAUAUGAAGCUAAAUUUUUUCCCGCUCCGAACAUUGACCGCCAUACGCCUGAAGACUGAAGCCGUCCGAACGGUUGGAGUGCUCUUCCGGUUCCGGAAAUAUUUACAAACAAUUGUGCCCUCUCGACUUGAACCGAUGCGUUACGAGCACGUUGCGCGCCACUCAACUCCGGGCCCAGCGUAACAACUCUAGUGGCCUCUUGAUAAUCUAUCAUCAUACCGGUUCUACCUAUCUCUCUACCUGUUUUACCUCUUAGCCGACCCUAUGAUCGAGGCGAUGUUUUUUUUUAUAUGGACCUAGAAAAAGGACCCUAAAACCACGCUGUUGGAGGGAUUUGCUUGAAGUGAUGCAGAGAGAAAUAAAAAAAGAAGUAAAAUGAUA